rnacentral:rRNA from 1 species
CCUACGGGAGGCUGCAGUGAGGAAUAUUGGUCAAUGGACGAGAGUCUGAACCAGCCAAGUAGCGUGAAGGAUGACUGCCCUAUGGGUUGUAAACUUCUUUUAUAUGGGAAUAAAAUGUUCCACGUGUGGGAUUUUGUAUGUACCAUAUGAAUAAGGAUCGGCUAACUCCGUGCCAGCAGCCGCGGUAAUACGGAGGAUCCGAGCGUUAUCCGGAUUUAUUGGGUUUAAAGGGAGCGUAGGUGGAUUGUUAAGUCAGUUGUGAAAGUUUGCGGCUCAACCGUAAAAUUGCAGUUGAAACUGGCAGUCGUGAGUACAGUAGAGGUGGGCGGAAGUCGUGGUGUAGCGGUGAAAUGCUUAGAUAUCACGAAGAACUCCGAUUGCGAAGGCAGCUCACUGGACUGCAACUGACACUGAGGCUCGAAAGUGUGGGUAUCAAACAGGAUUAGAUACCCCAGUAGUC